rnacentral:lncRNA from 1 species
ACGCUCAUAAUUCCAUCAAACGGAACUGAAAAUAUUCGAUAUUAUUUCAGAUAUAAAAGUGAAGAAUUCGUACGAGAAACUCAGGCUCAAUCGACCUCCGAAGCUCCUGGAAUCGAAACCAAUUAUAUACUCAUCCAUUUUUUGCCGCUGUUCACAACUCUUUUCCCCUUUAAGAGAGCAAAGAAAAAACACAAAUGGAAAUGGAUGAAGAAAAAAGUAUUAGCCAAAAAACAGAAUUCUAUGACAGAAACGGGCCAAACGAAAAAUAAACAAAAUGCCGAAAUAAGCAAAUGUGAGGUUGUACGAGUGCUCGUUAACAAUUUCGUAUGAUCUUUAAGAGUUUCGAAUACUUCAGCUCACGUACCGAAGCGGAGAAAUUUAAAUCUGGAAUCCUCCGAAGAGUAAGUGCUUUCGAAGUUCGUUUCAUAUUUAUUUGUCGACCUUUGUGUGAGGUCUAACUCAGAAGAACAGGCUUUUUUAUGCUCCUAAGAUAAUAUUUUUAUUACAUUCUUACUCACGAGCCUCCUUUAUAUUGAAUAGCGUAAAGCCCAGGUAAAUAUACGUAUAUACAGUGAUAAAGGUAAUGCCAGAAAUUUCUACGUUUAUUUAUUCAAACUUGCUUGUUUCAGAGACCACGGGACGCGAUAAAUACACCAUUUUCUGUUACAACGCUUCUCUCUCCCUCUCUUUUAUUCUCUCUGAUUAUUUUUCCUUCUCCUCGUCUCACCAUCACCGUUUGAUAAGGUGAUAUCAGAGACGAUUCGUGCGUAAGAAUAAUUUCAUUUGCAAAUGCACGAGUGUGACGAAAGAGAAAAUACGGGCUGAAGGCCAAUACCAAGGAGGAUGGAGCAGCAAUGGGUUUUACGAUGAGCAUCGAUAUCUCAAUUCUUAUGAUAAUACUUCGAACGAAAGUUUUGUUCAGUCAUUUAUUCGGAUGAAAAUAUCGUGAUCGUGUUAAAAUAAAACUUUUAUUGCGUCAUUAUUGGGAACAUUUUCAUUGGGAGCGUGAGCCGGAACUCUGGGAAUGCGCAACAUUUUUUCAAAGCUACGAAAAUACAUUGUUGCUCCGGGGGACAAAAGAGAUUUUCCCAGAUUCAACGAAUAGGCGAAUAGGCUCAAUUAUUCGAGUGUUUUCAACCACAGUCCACCGAAUCCCCAACCGCAACAGCACGGGAAUAUAAGCUACCUUAAAAGUUGAGUAAUAGCUUGAAUUUUUUUCGGGAAUUCAGUUGCAUUAGAUUGUCUUGAAACUUUGACGAGCGUCCUUUCAAGAAAUGUGACUUGAAAAAGCCAAGUCCAAAUGUAUGAGAAAGCACGCGAAAGUUCGAAGCUGCCGGAGCGCUGCGAAUGGAACAAACAGGAAAGCUUUUUAUUGAGAGUCAAAUGAAUGAUGGGGCCGGUGUAAUUUGAAACGGGACACCUUGUAUAAGGUUCGUAUAAGUGUAGGAUACAUCGAAGGAAUCUAGAGGCGCUUAAAUGUCGAAGAAAAGCUAGGGCUUUGAAAGCGAGGGCCGGGCGCGAACAAACGUGGUGGAAUACGUGAUUUCCACGGGCGCGCCGCAACGUUGCGGAGACCAACCGGUCCGUAAACGUUUUUCCAGUCUAUUAAAAAUCUGUCCCCGCCGGGCUAAUUCGCAUCCGCGCCUGCCGCGCUCGAUUUAUUCUCUCGUGAGCCACUACUCUCGAUGCUGAAAGAGAGCACUAGAAGCAAAAGGAGAAAAACGACGAGGCGAAGAAUGAGACGAAAUGAACGAGAAUAAAAGAAGAAGAAGAAGAAGAAGACCAAGAGGAAGGACCGGAGAUGAUGAAAAAGCGACUAAAAAACAUGCGAAGAUGCGGAGAAAGAAGAAGAAGAAGAAGAAGAAGCAGCACCAGAAGAAGUACGAGAAGUAGAAGAGGAAACAGGAGACGAAGAAUGCUGAAGGAAAGGUGUGUUCUCCACUCGCAGACACAGAAAGAGAAAUAUGUAAUACAAGACGCGCGCGGCCUUUUGACGACAAUAUAAAACAAACCUCUUGCACGCUUGAAA